ACGAAAGUUAUCUGCCAUUAGACUUCUUGAAGAACCUCUGGUGAUGGGAUUGGACAGCAGGGUGUUGUGGGUGGGCGUGGUGGCGCUGUGGGCGUCAGGAUGGGUGGAGGGCCACGGGCGGCUGAUGGAGCCAGUCUCUCGCUCCUCCGCCUGGAGGAAGGGCUUCGACACCCCCAUCAAUUAUAACGACAACGAGCUCUUCUGUGGCGGCUUUAAGGUGCAGUAUGAGGAUAACGACGGGCAGUGUGGCGUGUGUGGCGACAACUGGGCCGACCCUCAGCCCCGGGACAACGAGGCUGGUGGCACCUAUGGCACCGGACUCAUCGUCGCCAACUACACCAUGGGUCAGGAGGUGACGGUAGAGGUAGACCUCACCACCAACCACAAGGGCUACUUCGAGUUCCGGUUGUGUGUCAACAACGACGUCUCCAAGAUCAUCACCCAGGAGUGUCUGGACCAGCACCUCCUCCAGAAGGCUGACGGCUCCGGCACUCAAGAAUACAUCCACAUUGACGAGCCAGAGUGGCACAAUACUACAGUGACGCUGCCCAAAGACGUCGUGUGCACCCAGUGUGUUCUCCAGUGGCACUACCACGCAGGGAACGCUUGGGGAGACUGCGGCAACGGUACUGAGGCUGUGGGCUGUGGACCACAGGAGACCUUCCGUGGCUGUGCUGACAUUGGUAUAUACUAGCAAGCCUCGCCCACAGCACCCUCUUCCCCACAGGUGGUCCUGUGAAGCCUCUCCCACCAUCUUGCUGGUCUGAGGUGUAUAGCAUCAUGCUAGCCUGAGGUGUAUAGCGUCAUAUGCUAGCCUGAGGUGUAUAGCGUCAUGCUAGCCUGAGGUGUAUAGCAUCAUGCUGGCCUGAGGUGUAUAGUGUCAUGCUGGCCUGAGGUGUAUAGUGUCAUGCUGGCCUGAGGUGUAUAGCGUCAUCCUAGCCUGAGGUGUAUAGCAUCAUGCUGGCCUGAGGUGUAUAGCGUCAUGCUAGC